CAGACACGGAGACAACAGUCUUUUGCAGGGAGAAAAAGUCUUCAUUGCAGGGCGGCCACGCAAGGAGACAGGAAGCAGAACUCUGAAAUCUGUCUCCCAGAUGGCAAGGCCUUUUCAGAGUAAAGUCCAUCUUUUUGAAGACUGCAUUCAUCUAAAAAAAAUUACCUUACCUGUCCUACAACAGAGUAUUUGGCACUCUGUCUUACAGUCAUGCUCCUGAUCAGAAGACGAGACCAGGUGAGUGAGGAUGACUCAGCUGGAUUGGCUGGGAAAACAUGCUGGGGCCUGUGAAGAGGUUGGAUCAGGCAUAGCGUUGAGAGCUGGCUCACAUGAUGUCUCAAACUUCCACCCCCUCCUUGCUUCGACCACCAUUAGCUUCUUUGCUUUCCUUUCUUUGUUUCUUUUUUUUGUUAACUUGUGAAAGCUUUACUGUUUUAAAUUAAUUUUUAAAAACAGAC